rnacentral:rRNA from 1 species
UGGAGGGCAAGUCUGGUGCCAGCAGCCGCGGUAAUUCCAGCUCCAAUAGCGUAUAUUAAAGUUGUUGUGGUUAAAAAGCUCGUAGUUGAACCUUGGGCCUGGCUGGCCGGUCCGCCUCACCGCGUGUACUGGUCCGGCCGGGCCUUUCCCUCUGUGGAACCCCAUGCCCUUCACUGGGUGUGGCGGGGAAACAGGACUUUUACUGUGAAAAAAUUAGAGUGCUCCAGGCAGGCCUAUGCUCGAAUACAUUAGCAUGGAAUAAUAGAAUAGGACGUGUGGUUCUAUUUUGUUGGUUUCUAGGACCGCCGUAAUGAUUAAUAGGGACAGUCGGGGGCAUCAGUAUUCAAUUGUCAGAGGUGAAAUUCUUGGAUUUAUUGAAGACUAACUACUGCGAAAGCAUUUGCCAAGGAUGUUUUCAUUAAUCAGGAACGAAAGUUAGGGGAUCGAAGACGAUCAGAUACCGUCGUAGUCUUAACCAUAAACUAUGCCGACUAGGGAUCGGACGAUGUUAUUUUUUGACUCGUUCGGCACCUUACGGGAAAC